rnacentral:rRNA from 1 species
UCAGUCUUGCGACCGUACUCCCCAGGCGGCAAGCUUAACGGCUUCCCUGCGACACUCCGAUCGCGAUUUGCGACCGGAUCAUCUAGCUUGCAUCGUUUACGGCUGGGACUACCCGGGUAUCUAAUCCGGUUCGCUCCCCCAGCUUUCAUCCCUCACCGUCGAGCGCGUUCUGGUGGGCCGCCUUCGCCACUGGUGGUCUUCCACGGAUCAAAGGAUUUUACCCCUACACGUGGAGUACCGCCCACCUCUCCCGCCUCCUAGUCCUGCGGUAUCCCCUGCAGGCCAACGGUUAAGCCGUUGGAUUUAACAGGCGACCUACAGAACAGGCUACGGAUGCU